rnacentral:rRNA from 1 species
CAGUAGCCGCGGGAAUACAGAGGGUGCGAGCGUUAAUCGGAUUUACUGGGCGUAAAGCGUGCGUAGGCGGCUUCUUAAGUCGGAUGUGAAAUCCCUGAGCUUAACUUAGGAAUUGCAUUCGAUACUGGGAAGCUAGAGUAUGGGAGAGGAUGGUAGAAUUCCAGGUGUAGCGGUGAAAUGCGUAGAGAUCUGGAGGAAUACCGAUGGCGAAGGCAGCCAUCUGGCCUAAUACUGACGCUGAGGUACGAAAGCAUGGGGAGCAAAUAGGAUUAGAUACCCCCGUAGUCCCUGUCUCUUAUAA